rnacentral:tRNA from 1 species
GGGCCCGUAGUCGAAUGGUUAAAACCGCUUUGCCUCCAAGGCAGGGCGGCGACUAGGACGUCCGCUUGACAUGCGGGAGACUCGGAGUUCGAUUCUCCGCGGGCCCA